rnacentral:rRNA from 1 species
GACGAACGCUGGCGGCACGCCUAAUACAUGCAAGUCGGGCGGGGGAAGCUUGCGGAAGCCUUCGGGCGGAAGCGAGUGGACCCAGCGGCGGACGGGUGAGUAACACGUAGGCAACCUGCCUGUAAGACCGGGAUAACUCCGGGAAACCGGGGCUAAUACCGGAUAGGCUCUUCUGCCGCAUGGUGGGGGAGUGAAAGAUGGCGCGAGCUAUCGCUUACAGAUGGGCCUGCGGCGCAUUAGCUAGUUGGUGAGGUAACGGCUCACCAAGGCGACGAUGCGUAGCCGGCCUGAGAGGGUGGUCGGCCACACUGGGACUGAGACACGGCCCAGACUCCUACGGGAGGCAGCAGUAGGGAAUCUUCCGCAAUGGGCGCAAGCCUGACGGAGCGAUGCCGCGUGAGCGAGGAAGGCCUUCGGGUCGUAAAGCUCUGUUGUCAGGGAAGAAGUCCUUGGGUGUGAAGAAUGCCUGAGGUUGACGGUACCUGACGAGGAAGCCCCGGCUAACUAC